AACGCGUAUGCAAUCUACCUUUUACAGAGGGAUAGCCCAGAGAAAUUUGGAUUAAUACCUCAUAGUAUAGUAUAACCGCAUGGUUGAACUAUUAAAGUCACAACGGUAAAAGAUGAGCAUGCGUCCCAUUAGCUAGUUGGUAAGGUAACGGCUUACCAAGGCAACGAUGGGUAGGGGUCCUGAGAGGGAGAUCCCCCACACUGGUACUGAGACACGGACCAGACUCCUACGGGAGGCAGCAGUGAGGAAUAUUGGUCAAUGGACGCAAGUCUGAACCAGCCAUGCCGCGUGCAGGAUGACGGUCCUAUUGAUUGUAAACUGCUUUUGUACGAGAAGAAACAACAUUACGUGUAAUGCCUUGACGGUAUCGUAAGAAUAAGGAUCGGCUAACUCCGUGCCAGCAGCCGCGGUAAUACGGAGGAUCCAAGCGUUAUCCGGAAUCAUUGGGUUUAAAGGGUCCGUAGGCGGUUUAGUAAGUCAGUGGUGAAAGCCCAUCGCUCAACGGUGGAACGGCCAUUGAUACUGCUAGACUUGAAUUAUUAGGAAGUAACUAGAAUAUGUAGUGUAGCGGUGAAGUGCUUAGAGAUUACAUGGAAUACCAAUUGCGAAGGCAGGUUACUACUAAUGGAUUGACGCUGAUGGACGAAAGCGUGGGUAGCGAACAGGAUUAGAUACCCUGGUAGUCCACGCCGUAAACGAUGGAUACUAGCUGUUGGGAGCGAUCUCAGUGGCUAAGCGAAAGUGAUAAGUAUCCCACCUGGGGAGUACGUUCGCAAGAA
rnacentral:rRNA from 1 species